AUUAUGAUGAUUUGAUAUGUUUAGUAUUAGUGGUCUUAAAAAAAUAAUAAAUUAAAGAUUUAAUCCGUAUUGAAACGGUUAAUUAAUUAUAUUUUAAUUUUUUAUUAAUGUUGAUUCAAAAACCCGUCUCUCCAAAUUCGUCUUGCCAAAAAGCCAUUUAUUUUAUUAAUAUUAAUUUUAUUUAUGAUAUGACUCUAAAUUAUAAUCUAAACAUUUUAGCUAAUAACAUAGGAGUGCACCAUAUUUAUUUAAUAGGGAAAUGUAUCAUAUGACCCGAAUGCACUUUUACCCAAAUCCACCAAAAAGGUCUUGCAAAAAUACUAUAGAGAUAAGAAACGAUAGUUAGUUUUGAUAGGUAUAAGAUUAGCAAAUAUAUUAGUUAGCUUAAAUUAGUUAAAGAAUACAAAUUGAAAAGGUAUAUUACACUUUAUUCGAAUAUAGUAUCAAAAUUUAUGUAACACAGAGAUUUGAUAAAUUUUUAAUUGUUGAAUACUUUUUUUUUUGCUAAU
rnacentral:sRNA from 1 species